rnacentral:misc_RNA from 1 species
ACCCCGAUCCCAAGCACCAUGGAGCCGACGAUUUGGAUCAAGACCUACAUCCCAAGCACCAAGGUGCCUGGUUGAUAUGGAUCGCGAUCCCGAUCUGGAGCUCCAGGGCGCCGAGGAUUUCGAUCACGAUCCCGAUCUGAAGCACCGAGUAGCCGAGGAUAUGGAUCAAGACCCCGGUCCGAAGCGACAAGGAGGCAAGGAUUUGGAUCACCACUCCGAUCAAAGGCACCAAGGCGUCGAGGGACUGGAUCGAGAUCCCGAUCCCAAUCAUGAAGUUGGCUAUGUAAUUUCCUGUUUUCCACACCGUUCAGGGCAUUUUGGUGGUCGCAUCGGCUUUUAGUUGCUUGCUUGGUGUUAGUGCCAAGGGAGUGGUUGGAAGCUAGGUCGUCCUCUGGAAUGCUUGUUGUAAAGGUGUAUGAGUUGUGUUUGGCUUGUUACGGGUGUUUGUUGGCUGCUUGUGCAGGAACUUUCAUGCGUCCAAGCCUCUUCAGUUGUGCUACAAGGCCUUGUUUGUCUUGUGCAUACGGUGGGUUUCCUGUGUUGCAUACCUAAUCAAGGGCGUCGUAUGGCUUGAUCGAAGUAAAUAUUCGUAAUGCGCCGCUUGUGGCGUUGCACGAACCUCGAAGUGGUCUCUGUGGCCCAUGUUGUCUUUGCUCACGUAUGGAUGGCAUGGCCCUCGGAGCGUCGCUUGGUCUCUUGGAUACGGAACCUGAUGAUGAGGGCGGUAGGGUCUUGGAUGAUUCUGCCUUCGC